rnacentral:rRNA from 1 species
CAAUAGCGUAUAUUUAAGUUGUUGCAGUUAAAAAGCUCGUAGUUGGAUUUUGGGUCGGGGGCACCGGUCCGCCGUUCCGGUGUGCACUGGUGGCCCCUUCCUUUCUGCCGGGGACGUGCGUCGCACUUAAUUGGGUGGCGUUCGGAGUCGGCGUUGUUACUUUGAAAAAAUUAGAGUGUUCAAAGCAAGCCAUCGCUCUGAAUACAUUAGCAUGGAAUAACAUGAUAGGACUCCGGUCUUAUUUUGUUGGUUUCCGAGACUGGAGUAAUGAUUAAGAGGGACAGUCGGGGGCAUCCGUAUUUCAUUGUCAGAGGUGAAAUUCUUGGAUUUAUGAAAGACGAACUUCUGCGAAAGCAUUUGCCAAGGAUGUUUUCAUUAA